rnacentral:rRNA from 1 species
AACGAACGCUGGCGGCAUGCCUAACACAUGCAAGUCGAACGAGACCUUCGGGUCUAGUGGCGCACGGGUGCGUAACGCGUGGGAACCUGCCCUUAGGUUCGGAAUAACUCCCCGAAAGGGGUGCUAAUACCGGAUAAUGUCUUCGGCCCAAAGAUUUAUCGCCUUUGGAUGGGCCCGCGUUGGAUUAGCUAGUUGGUAGGGUAAAAGCCUACCAAGGCGACGAUCCAUAGCUGGUCUGAGAGGAUGAUCAGCCACACUGGGACUGAGACACGGCCCAGACUCUUACGGGAAGCAGCAGUGGGGAAUAUUGGACAAUGGGCGAAAGCCUGAUCCAGCAAGGCCGCGUGAGUGAUGAAGGCCUUAGGGUUGUAAAGCUCUUUUACCCGGGAUGAUAAUGACAGUACCGGGAGAAUAAGCGCCGGCUAACUCCGUG